rnacentral:lncRNA from 1 species
GUACAUCGUAGUUCAAGGGUUACCACCAAUAGGAUGCCUUCCAUUACAUAUCUCAUUGUGUCCACUGAAAGCUGCUCUUGAUCAUAUGGGAUGUGCAGCAGCUGUCAACGCAGCAGUAAUGUUGCACAACCAGAUCCUUCAAAAAAAAUUGGAAAUAUUCCGUAGUUUAUAUCCUAAUUGUCAUUUCUUAUAUGCUGACUACUGGAAUGCAUAUCUAACAAUAAAGAUGAACCUAAAAAAGUACCAAUUUGAGGAAGCUUUCAAACCUUGCUGUGGAGCUGUAGGAGGACCAUUGAACUUCAACCUGCAUUCGCCGUGUGGCUCACCUGGAACCGUUAAAUGUAAUGAUCCAAGCAAAUUUAUCAGCUGGGAUGGUAUCCAUCUUACAGAAGCGAUGAAUCGGAAAGUCACU